rnacentral:misc_RNA from 1 species
GCAUCUUGGGGGUUGUUUCGAUUGGUAUGUUUCCGGUGGUUGGCUCUCUGCUCGCGCAACAACUUCCACCUGGCAUACCUCUUCAGUUACACGUCAAGGUUUUAUUGCCUUGUUCGUUGGGUUUCCUGUGUUGUAUACCUAGUGACGGAUUGUUCGAUUCAUCAUUCACAUUUCAUCUUUCGUCAUGCUUUGGCGCGGGAUGAACAUGAAACGAUCUCUUUGGUCUACCUUGUGGAUGCAUAACGUUCAAAUUGUGGCCCAUUGAGUAUUGCUUGGUUUCAUGGAUACGGAACAUGAUGUGGGCAUGGGGUCUCAAACGAUCCUGUUUUGUCGAAGACGUUAUUGUUUUUCUAAGAUGACUGCUCCCGAAUUGUCUUGUACAAACGGGUGGGUAUGUUGUCAAGAGAGAUGCUAGCGUUCUGCUUCUCAAAAACGACCACUACCUGUUGGCUUGUACCAGCGGUGGGUGAGUCGAUAGGGAUGCUACCUGGUUGAUCCUGCCAGUAGUCAUAUGCUUGUCUCAA